rnacentral:rRNA from 1 species
GUCUAUGGCUAUACCACCUUGAACAUGCCCGAUUGAGUCUGAUCUCAGAAGCUAAGCAGGGUCGGGCCUGGUUAGUACUUGGAUGGGAGAAUAUGGUCUGUUUUUUUCU